AAAAAAACAAACCUGUUGUCUGAUGGUCAAGGCAUGACCCCUAGCUCCUACACCAGAUGACUCUCCAAACAUGCCUAGCUCAUCUUUGGCUGCCCAAGUUCUGUGCUUUCUACAGUAAGACCCAAGGACUCACACCUUCUCUCUGCGGUUGGAACUCAUUGAACCAGCUGAGCUUUUGCUUGAGAGCUGGAGAUUAUGACCCAGACCUUCAUGCUUGUACAACAGAGCACAUGACCGUCUGAGCUGACUCCCAGCUUCUCGUGCUCUUUGAAGUAAUACCCUCCUUGAAGACCAAGCAUCCUUUCCU